UUUAUCAGAAUAGAGCUAUUGAACCAGAAUUUUCACGAUAUCUUGGAAUUAUUAUUCGAGAUAGAAAUAUUUGCCCAGUAGCUGUUGAGAAUUGGGCCAAAAUACCACAACAAAAUAAAGAUCAUAUGUGGGCAUCCAUUAAGGAUAAAUUUGAUGCUGAGGACAUGGAGCAAAAGAGAGAGUUAGUAAUAAGACACUUGCGCGAUUUGUGGAAUAAGUGGCGUGGUGACAUGCACAGGAAAUAUGUGAAAGAAAAUUCAUUGCAAGUUGCACUUAGAAAUAAACCUACAGAAAAAGCAAGCCAACAAAAUACACUUAACAGAGGCAAAAGAAAG